AUUUUAGCUGCCGUAAGACCGAGAUAAAUCGCACUGGCAGUGUUAAGCUAACAUUUAGAACUUACAAUGCAUUUUUAUGUGACAUUAAUUAGCGUCAUAUUGACGGGAUGUUUUAAUGCACAGUUAAGUCUUCAAUUUGAAAUAAAUGUCAUAAUUCCAGUGCAAAACUCGGUUAUGACGACCACCAUACCAUGUGUUGACGCCCUUUCAAACUGUGACGUGUUUAAUUACACCCGGAUAUGUGAUAGAGAUGGUAUAUAUGCUACAUGGGCCAAACAAAACUGUCGAGCGUAUUGCGGAUACUGCACAGUUAUGACGACUACUGUACCAUGUGUGGACGCCCUUCAAAAUUGUGACGUGUAUAACUAUACCCGGAUAUGUGAUAGGGAUGGUAUUUAUGCUACAUGGGCCAAACAAAACUGCGGAGCGUAUUGCGGACACUGCACAACGGGAAACGACGCUGCACUUGUGUAGAAAUCUGCUCAAGUGUACUUGAUUCUUUACCAUAAAUAAUUCUUAACAACAUUU
rnacentral:misc_RNA from 1 species